GAGACGCACGAGCAAAGCGCACGGACUAAAAGCAACGCUUCCAGGGCUCCCAGGAAAAAAGAAUAUUUUGGCUGGAGACACCGGGAAUUUAAUGGAGUGGCGCGCUCAGCACCAGCAAUGCUGAUGACAGAGGGAGCUGCUCCAGCUCCUUAUAACUUCUUCCACCAGUAGGUGUGGGACCUUACAGUGCAUUUUCUUGAACACAGAGUGAAGCAGUUGAUUACAACCAUCUCUGGCAGAGGUGAAGGAAAACAAUAAAACCAAAACACGGUAGAGAAGAUUAUUGUGUGUCUCAGGUGAUACUUUUCCCUGCAAUGAAGUUUGCUUAUACAUCCCUAGUGCUUCUGGGAGCUACAGAUGCACACCUACAGAGAGAGGAACAGUGGUCAGUGCUGUCCCUUUUUAGCUGGAGCUAUUAACCAAAGCUGAGGGUCCUGCAGGUAGUUUGAUCAUAGAUAACACGGUGGAGCCUGCAGUAGGUAGCAGCUGGAUUCCAUGGCCUCAUAGGUCUAUCUCAGUUGUGUUAAGUUUAAUGGAAAGAGAGUCUGGCAGCUGAGGCAGCAAACAAACCUGAUGCAAGCCUGUGUAUUUACAGUGACUGUACAAGGUCCUGGUUCUCUGAGCUGCUGGUGCCCCAGUAAAAACAGUAAUGCCAUUGUUAGUAACAGACCAUAGGCCUUGUGCUGGCUUUGUGAGUCCUGAGGACUGGGGUCUAUUAGGCUUGUCAGCUUGUUGUGAGCACUUGCUAUGUGAACUUGACAUUUGUGACAGGUGUCUCAUGUUAUGAUGUGAAGUUCAAGCAUAAAAUAAUAGCAAAGGCCUUGGGGAUACUUUUUUAGCCUAGGGUUAAAAAAGUAUCCCCAAGGCGACAAAAAAAGUCAUUGUUAGUUACUGGGCAUGGAAGAAGUACAGCCUUGAGAGCUGAGAAAAACUGUUUAAGUGUCAUAAAGAGGAAAAAGGAAGAAGCUAAGCAUGAAAAAAGUCAAGAACAGGGUAACGUAUCUGGCAGCCUGGAAAGGUAACACCUUCAAACAUUGCACAGCAUGAAGUCCAGCAGACGGAGGCUUAAGGCAAAGAAUCUGCUUAGAGAGUCAAACAUCUUAGAAAAAGAUGAAAUCUAUCCACUGGCUGGAUUUUCUUUCCACACACAGCAAUUCAAAUCUGUGAGCGUAUUGCUGGCUUCAAGGACCCUGACUGUCAAGGACUGUAUGAUCUUCUAGCAUUGGCCAGGACUAUGCACGAGAAGGUCAAUGUGUGUAUGUGAGUUUUCACCCAAAUUCUGUGCAUUUCACCUUUCUAACCCCUCAGUAAAUACCUGUUGCAUGUAAA